rnacentral:rRNA from 1 species
UACGUAGGGUGCAAGCGUUGUCCGGAAUUAUUGGGCGUAAAGAGCUCGUAGGCGGUCUGUCGCGUCGGCUGUGAAAACUCGGGGCUCAACUCCGAGCCUGCAGUCGAUACGGGCAGACUAGAGUGCGGUAGGGGAGACUGGAAUUCCUGGUGUAGCGGUGAAAUGCGCAGAUAUCAGGAGGAACACCGGUGGCGAAGGCGGGUCUCUGGGCCGUAACUGACGCUGAGGAGCGAAAGCGUGGGGAGCGAACAGG